AAAUAAACUUAAGGUUUGUAAAUGUAAGCAACAGUUGUAAAUGUUUUACAGAUUUCUCUUUUAUUUGUGAAACAUGUUUUGGAUGGCCCUCCGCAUCCACCUCCUUAAUGUCCGGGCCAGGCUUUCUCUCUCUCCUGUAUGUCCAUGUGGGGCUUUCCCCCCACUGCCCCUCAAGUCUCUGCACCUGCUAUUUAUUCCCUCAUCAGCCUGCCUUCAAAUACCCUUGUUUCCGUCCGUCCGGCGCUAGACCGUUGUUAUUCAUUACUACGUAGUAAUGUUCACGGCCACUCCAAACCAUAGUUUGAGUACACAUUGUAGUUGUUCCUUCCUGCUAAUCCUGUUUAUCAUCGUUCUCAAGAUUCCACCUUACCCAGCCUCCAAACACUUCCACCUGUCCGCCUGUCAGCCACCUGCUCUGCCUACCCAGUGUCCUGUCUACCUCGCCCUUGGGCCCACACACGGCUCCCCCCGUAACACAAAUGGAUGGGAGUUUCGAUCAGGAACCAGGGUCAUGUUACUCCGGAAUUGACUUACUGCAAGUGGUGGUCUUGCUACCACGGUUUGCGUUAUCGUGCGGUAUGGUAUGCAAGUUGCAUCAUGCAGGGGUUGCAUCAUGCUGGCUUGAUCGAAUUCAUCUUCUUAUCCAGGUUGGGUUUGUGUCGGUGUUGUCGGCUGCACAGAUGUUAUUGCAAUCGUGGUCUAUCCUUGCUCUGCAUGUCGUUCUUUUCUGCAUUUCACAUUUAGUCCUUUCCCUGUUACUGGUUGAUGCUUUUGUUCUUUUGGUUCCAUGUCUCUCCCUGCAAUGAUUGCAUUGGCUGGUGGCCAGGAUCCGCUGUCCUACUCUGUUGCUGGCAAGCCGAUGACACGUUCUGGUUGUCAUCCCCGAUCUUCCUGCUCCGCUGACGUCAGGAGUUGUCUUCGUGUUCAUACUCCAUGUUCGGCUCACGUUUCCGCUGGUUGCUGCUCGAUUCCUAUGUCGCUUCGACCCGCCUGGUCAUACUAUUGUUUAUCUGCUGGUGGUGCAGUCUGGAUUCCUGCUAAAGACUCUGGCCAUGCCUGUCUGCAUGUCUUAACCUGCUGAUUGUCAUCCAAGCUCCCUGUUGCUGUGGCCGAAAGCGUGUUCUCUCUACUCAUCACCUAGCACGGCUUGAGGAGGUCUAGCCACCCCUUGGAGUCCAGGUCCUCUCUAGGUUUCUUCCUAGGUUGAACUCCUAGGGUGUUUCCUAGCCACUGUGCAUCAUGUUUGUUGUGCUUUCUCUUCUGGGUUU
rnacentral:lncRNA from 1 species